CACAGGUGGCCCCCGCAGCGGGGCUGUGACAGGGCCCGUGCUGCCCGCAUGAAAGGCUCUGGAAAGCGUUCUGUAGAGCUUGUCCUGCCCCUGAGCGCUGUCGGUGCUCAGCGCAGCGGCAGAGCGAACUAGAACUCUUCGCUUUCGUUAUCAUUGUCUUUAUUAUUAUGAUUCCCCCUCUUUGCUAUAUUCAGGCCUUUUGUUCUCACCCAGGUAAGGGCUAGGGCGUGAUGGCUAACUCUUUGGAGCUGGCGCUGUAAGAAUAAUAGGUCUACCUAGAAAACAUGCAGGAGUGAUAUCAAGUGGUGACCCAAGAGAUGAAGAUGGAGGCAGUUUCAGUGUAGCACUGUGGCAAGUCCCAGCAAGCUCAAUGCAACGCCAAGAUUAGUCGUGUUUCAGAGUUUGGGUUUGGAAAAAAAAAAACAGGAAAAAAAAAACUUCAAAAUAUCAUCUCAAUUAAAAUAUAUGUAUACAUGUAUUUCCAUUAAAUGCUUCCACAUUCAUAUAAGGUAAACUUGCCUCUUUGAUGACUAAAUUAUUUUAGGAAGAAAAUAUGUUCUGAUUGUCAUCUUCAGGGCAUUUUCAGUGACGUUUUAUGGCAGUCGUUUAAAAUAAAAUUCUUAGUCAUUCAGCAUUUUAACUGAAAGCUACGUGUUAUGCAAGCAGUUUGUCAAACCCAUUGAGCUACCUGCCUAGUAGUAACGCAGCAAUAAAUAAUGAUAGCAUUUAAGGCUGUUUUCAUCAUUAGUGCUGUCAGAUCUGAUUGAAAUAUUAUGAAUGUUAAGGUUAAAUAUAUGAAGGCAAUAAAUAUUGAUAUGAAGCGUGCUCAAGAGAGUUGUGUUUCCCAAGUGGAUCUGGGGGCAGACUUGUUAUGAUGAUGGCUACUGCCAGCUCAUUGCAUGGCAACAGUUGGAGGGUGGUGUUUGCAGAGCUGGGAGCCAGACAGGAGAUUCUGUGCUGUGGUGGAGUUGAACACAUGCAAUAGAAGAGACACCCUCUGAGCCAGGACCUCCCUCAGCACCCACCAGCUGAAGAUAACUGGGGGAAAGUGAAAGCUAUAUUGUGCUUUGCUAUCUUUGUGUUCACUUGAAUGCGUGCCCUCACUUCUUCUGUCUGAACCACUUGAACCCAUCAGUCACUGAGGGCGUGCAGGAGUGGAUCAUGCCACCAUGUGGUGCUUUAUCAAGGACCAGAUCUAUGGCCCAAGCAUCGCCAGGUCAGUUAUCCUUCAGCUUCCAGAAGGUUUUAUAGUACCUCAGCAAUAAGAAGAGCUUGUUCCUGUUCACCAUCAUUAUUUCAGUCAAGGCAGAGGCAGCUUUUGAACCCUGCAAUGUUCAUCUCUGGGUGGUUUGGGAUUGUUUUCUUGUUUUUUGAUUUUAUACCUCCCUGGCUGUGAAUGAAACCUCUUCAUCCCGGUUCAAAGCAUCCUCAUCACAAAAGGCCUAUCUGGUUGACCUUUGGACUGUAGAUGAUGCAGACGAGAGUGGAAAAUGGAGAUUAGCGUUCAGCAGUGCUUAGCCAGUUCCUCAUGUUCUUCCCUGUAACAAGAACCCCGAGUUCAGCAGAUGGACUUUCUACAUAGUGUAAUAGGAGAGAGAAGUACCAAAAAAAGGCA
rnacentral:lncRNA from 1 species